UACGAAGGGGGGCUAGCGUUGCUCGGAAUCACUGGGCGUAAAGGGUGCGUAGGCGGGUUUUUAAGUCAGAGGUGAAAUCCUGGAGCUCAACUCCAGAACUGCCUUUGAUACUGAAAGUCUUGAGUAUGGGAGAGGUGAGUGGAACUGCGAGUGUAGAGGUGAAAUUCGUAGAUAUUCGCAAGAACACCAGUGGCGAAGGCGGCUCACUGGCCCAUUACUGACGCUGAGGCACGAAAGCGUGGGGAGCAA
rnacentral:rRNA from 1 species